GGACGUUGCCUCGCCGGGGGACAGACUCCCGCUCCCGCCGAGCGGCCGCUGCCCGGUGCCCGUCCCUCCAUCUCCUGCCGACGCCUGAGAUCACUGUCAAAACACCCUUCGGCACCGCACUGUCCUGCCAGCGAAGCCCCUCAGGGUUCGCGCAGGGCCUGCUGGCGCUCGCAGCCUCCCCCAGGCGGGUCCUGUCAGGGGUAUGGGUGCCGUGCGCGCCUUCCCCGCGCGCUCCGCUCCGCUCCGCUCCGCUCCGCGCGGCCCUUAACGGCCGUUGGAGGGCGGGGCGCUGCGGCUCGAGCCGCACCUGCUCGCGCGCCGCAGAACCUUCCAGAGAGCCGAGGCGAGGCGAGGCGCGGCGCCCUCUGAGUGUCUUUGCAGCAGCCUGUAACCUGAAGAGAGUAUACUCCUCCAAACCUGCUUUUUGAGAGUCAGGUACCAGAGGUGAAAUCAUUGUGAUUAGCAAAGAGAGGCACGUUCUUCUCAGAAGAGAAGCAGAGCAAGCAAGGUUAUUCCUAGAGGAGUCAUCACCUAGUGGUUUGCACGCUGUAGAAAACAGAGACACCAAGCAGGCGGACAUCUUAUCUUCUCAUCCCACCUGUACUGUGCUAGAUCCUGCUACCAGCUGAGGACUGUCUCCAGGAAUUACAUUUGGUUACAAAAAUCAUCUGUUGCUUCUGAAAUUUGAAGAGUGAAUCUGCUUUCAUUGCUGCAGCAGUCACACCUCCUCCAAUGAAACCAGGCUAAGUGUGGUAAGCAUACUGUCUUCAUAAGGCUCAUAAUCUAAAGAACUGUGCAGAAUUUGGUAAAUAGCACUAUUAUGUUGUCUUGUCUGCUUACAGCUUGUGUUUGAGUUGUUAAGAAUUUGAGUGAAAGCUGGA